rnacentral:tRNA from 1 species
GCCUUCGUGGUCUAGUGGUUAUGACACUCGCCUCGUCAGCGAGAGGUCGCAGGUUCGAAUCCCGUCGGAGGCA